GACGAACGCUGGCGGCGUGCCUAAUACAUGCCAGUAGAACGCUGAAGGAGGAGCUUGCUUCUCUGGAUGAGUUGCGAACGGGUGAGUAACGCGUAGGUAACCUGCCUGGUAGCGGGGGAUAACUAUUGGAAACGAUAGCUAAUACCGCAUAAUAGUAGAUGUUGCAUGACAUUUGCUUAAAAGGUGCAAUUGCAUCACUACCAGAUGGACCUGCGUUGUAUUAGCUAGUUGGUGAGGUAACGGCUCACCAAGGCAACGAUACAUAGCCGACCUGAGAGGGUGAUCGGCCACACUGGGACUGAGACACGGCCCAGACUCCUACGGGAGGCAGCAGUAGGGAAUCUUCGGCAAUGGACGGAAGUCUGACCGAGCAACGCCGCGUGAGUGAAGAAGGGUUUCGGAUCGUAAAGCUCUGUUGUAAGAGAAGAACGAGUGUGAGAGUGGAAAGUUCACACUGUGACGGUAUCUUACCAGAAAGGGACGGCUAACUACGUG
rnacentral:rRNA from 1 species